GAAAACAAACAUAUCAAGUGGGAUUCUAGAUGGGAUUACAUUUUGGAGUCUAUGCCUCAUCCCCACAUCCAGUGGCUUAGUUCUGGCCUGUCUUGGUUUCCCUUCCCCUGCCAAUCGAAGUCUUUAAUGACCUGUGCUGUUUUGUCAUGGGUCCUUCUGGGAACCUCUGCUGGAUACGUGUCUGCUAAAAUGUAUAAGAGCAAGCAUUACAACUCUUUAUUUUGCUGGUUAGGUAUCCAGUUCGCACAAACCAGAUUCCACGUCAGAUUCCUCAACAGAUUUUCUCUAGAAAAUGACUUUUGGCAUCAUAAUCAGUGGCAUUUUCCCUUUUGGCUGUAUUUUUAUUCAACUCUUUUUCCUUCUGAACAGUGUUUGGAACAGUCGGAUUUUUUUCCUGCUUCUGUUUUAUUAUCAAAAUCUACAGUGUGGUGAAAGUGGAUUAAAGAAUGUCCCCAGAGGCUUCCAGGCACAUCACCCUUGCUUUUGAAUAUACAUCUGUAUCUAUA
rnacentral:lncRNA from 1 species